rnacentral:rRNA from 2 species
GUCGCACGAGUUCAGACUCGUGGCGAAUAGCUCAGUAACACGUGGCCAAACUACCCUUCGGAACACAAUACCCUCGGGAAACUGAGGCUAAUAGUGUAUACCAUACCACCACUGGAAUGAGUGGUAUGCCAAACGCUCCGGCGCCGAAGGAUGUGGCUGCGGCCGAUUAGGUAGACGGUGGGGUAACGGCCCACCGUGCCAAUAAUCGGUAUGGGUCAUGAGAGUGAGAACCCAGAGACGGAAUCUGAGACAAGAUUCCGGGCCCUACGGGGCGCAGCAGGCGCGAAACCUUUACACUGCACGACAGUGCGAUAGGGGGAUCCCAAGUGCACAGGCAUAGCGCCUGUGCUUUUCGGUACCCUAAGGCGGUACCAGAAUAAGGGCUGGGCAAGACCGGUGCCAGCCGCCGCGGUAAUACCGGCAGCCCAAGUGAUGGCCGAUCUUAUUGGGCCUAAAGCGUCCGUAGCUGGCCGCGCAAGUCCAUCGGGAAAUCCACCUGCUCAACAGGUGGGCGCCCGGUAGAAACUGCGUGGCUUGGGACCGGAAGGCGCGACGGGUACGU